AGGUGCAUCCUUAUAUAUUUAUCAGCUCUACAAGCAUUAUAAGGGGUCUUCUUGUUUAGGCUGUUUUUUUUUUGUUUGUUUGUUUGUUUUUUUGAGGUUACUUUUGUUUUAAAAGGUGUUUGGUGUUUACAAGUAGUCCUUGUUUAAGGAACUAUUACUGACCUCUGGAAUUAGUACUCAGCUGAAGCAGCCUACAAGUACUGAAGAACUCAGUUAUGCCUAGAUAACAGGAAGGUUUUGGACAGCAGCUGGAGGGAGCCAGGAAAUUCCAGCUGUGAGCAGCAAAGAUCCUGAGCGUUUGAAUAUUUCCCUUCCCUUCUGUCUGGAGAGCUGCAGAAGAAAGGCAAGGUCUUCUCAGAAUGGAAGGACUAUGGAGCUCAGCAGAUUUCUGCUCAGGACUGUCCAGCCACUGUGGGAGUCACUGCUUUCAUCCCUGAGAAGAAGGUACUGCAGCCACUCCGUAUAGACCAGGAUCAUGUAGGGUACCAAUCGCUUCUCAAGUGCAGCUACUUCUAGGGCUUGAAGAAAAGAUGUUGCAAUAAGUGGAUGAAGUCAGCUGCACUAUUGGCAAAAGUAAUCGGCAUAAUUAAAUACAAGCUUGGUGGUAAAGUAGAGAACGACUUGACUGAGCCGGAACAGCAGCGUGGCAGCAAUUUCAAAAACUAGCCUCUCUCGCCUGUUUUCUUUCCACACGCUCGAGCUGCAAAAAGGCAAACUCCAGUGGAUUGCAGUGCCAGCUGUCCUUCUGCUGGAGGGGCGCGUUAUAAUAGCACCUACUGUCCCCACUGAAAAAUUCAGACUCCACUGCACUGGGUGCGGGUCUUAAACCUAAUGAAAACAAAGUUUCUUUUCCAUAGUGAUUUUGUCCUCUAAAUAAAGCUUCCUGGGACACAAACCGUAACCCUCUGGGUAUUUGCAUGGUGCAUACUAUACGGUGUGCUCAAGCUUCUUGAUGCCACUAAAAAAUAAUGACCAGUAACAAAAACUAUCAAGCUACCGGUGGAAGAAAUCAGGGGAAAAUGAGAAAUUGAACAGCCACUGUAAGAUGCAGUUGCUGUGGAGAGCAAUUUUGCACAGAAGGAUUCUCAUCACCUGCUGACCUAGUGGAAGAAAGAUGUUCCAAGACAGCAGAGGUCCCUCUUGGAGUAGUUUGUUCCAGUGUUCGUUCCAGAGUCCAUUUGAGGGAAAAGAAAAAUUGAGGUUACCUCAGAACCAGUUCAGAAACAACCAUGCUAUUUUGCAGAUAGUAACUUGAUGCAGUUAUGCUAAUCACCCAGACCUUGCUCAUCUUGUGUCACAAGCUGUUUAUUUAACUGCAAGCCUAUGUCCUGAGAUACUGAGCUGGUCCUUCUCAGAGCUGGGCAGCCAUUUUCAGAGAUGUGAUUUUAAGAAAAUGGAGAUCACCUACUGUGUGUUAAAGGACCGGUCAAUGGGAUCGACUGUAAGAUAAGUACCUGAUACUGACAGCACAUCUGUUGCUAUGUUACAUGCUUUGUAUGCAGAUGGAAGGGUAUUAAAAGCUUCCAGUGCCACUACACAUUGAGGAUGAGAGUCUGGUUGGAGGGAGCUGUCCAGUACUAGCUGGAGAAGACAGAAUGUAAGUCAUUUCAGGCCUUUCCUUGCUGAACUGGCUUGUGUAAGCUUUGGAGCAGUCGCUUUCCUGCAGCAGUUCUUAUCAGGAAGCAUGGCCCUCACCUUCAGCUCUCCUUUUCGGGUACGGUAUGAGCAGGUCAUUAAUAUUCCGUGGUUUUCUGUGAGUUUACUGGUGUAAAUAUAGCUAAGGCUUUGGAAAUAGCAAAUCUGCUGUACAAAUCUUAACCCAUAGUAUUAAAGAAGAAAAUCAAAGGUUUUUUGUGUAUUCGUAUAG